rnacentral:rRNA from 1 species
GGGUGAGUAACGCGUAUCCAACCUGGCCUUUACCACGGGAUAGCCCGGCGAAAGUCGGAUUAAUACCGUAUGUACUCCGAAGAGGACAUCUGAUUUGGAGUAAAGGUUCAGCGGUAAAGGAUGGGGAUGCGUCUGAUUAGCUAGUUGGCGGGGUAACGGCCCACCAAGGCGACGAUCAGUAGGGGUUCUGAGAGGAAGGUCCCCCACAUUGGAACUGAGACACGGUCCAAACUCCUACGGGAGGCAGCAGUGAGGAAUAUUGGUCAAUGGGCGAGAGCCUGAACCAGCCAAGUAGCGUGCAGGACGACGGCCCUAUGGGUUGUAAACUGCUUUUAUGCGUGGAUAAUGUGCGGGACGCGUCCCGUAUUGCAGGUAGCGCAUGAAUAAGGACCGGCUAAUUCCGUGCCAGCAGCCGCGGUAAUACGGAAGGUCCGGGCGUUAUCCGGAUUUAUUGGGUUUAAAGGGAGCGUAGGCUGAUUGUUAAGCGUGUUGUGAAAUGCGGGUGCUCAACAUCUGGAUUGCAGCGCGAACUGGCGGUCUUGAGUCAGCUGGAAGCAGGCGGAAUUUGUGGUGUAGCGGUGAAAUGCUUAGAUAUCACGAAGAACUCCGAUUGCGAAGGCAGCUUGCUGCGGCUUGACUGACGCUGAAGCUCGAAAGCGCGGGUAUCGAACAGGAUUAGAUACCCUGGUAGUCCGCGCGGUAAACGAUGGAUGCCCGCUGUGUGCCUGUUAUUGGUGCGCGGCCAAGCGAAAGCGUUAAGCAUCCCACCUGGGGAGUACGCCGGCAACGGUGAAACUCAAAGGAAUUGACGGGGGCCCGCACAAGCGGAGGAACAUGUGGUUUAAUUCGAUGAUACGCGAGGAACCUUACCCGGGCUUGAAUUGCAGAUGAGUUCGCCAGAGAUGGCGGAUGUCGAACGUUCGGGACAUCUGUGAAGGUGCUGCAUGGUUGUCGUCAGCUCGUGCCGUGAGGUGUCGGCUUAAGUGCCAUAACGAGCGCAACCCCUUUCCGUAGUUGCCAUCAGGUUCUGCUGGGCACUCUGCGGAUACUGCCACCGUAAGGUGUGAGGAAGGUGGGGACGACGUCAAAUCAGCACGGCCCUUACGUCCGGGGCUACACACGUGUUACAAUGGGGAGUACAGAGCGUCGGCGUCCCGCGAGGUCCGUCCAAUCGCCAAAUCUCUCCUCAGUUCGGACCGGGGUCUGCAACCCGACCCCGCGAAGCUGGAUUCGCUAGUAAUCGCGCAUCAGCCAUGGCGCGGUGAAUACGUUCCCGGGCCUUGUACACACCGCCCGUCAAGCCAUGAAAGCUGGGGGCGCC